rnacentral:lncRNA from 1 species
UGCUGCAAUUCUCAAUAGGUAAGGCCAUCUGGAUAGUAACCUUACUAUUUAGAAAGUUAUUAGAACUGCCCGUGUCGAUGAGAACAGUGAUCGGUUGUUGUUUGAGAAGGCCUCCAACUUUCAUCGUUUCCGGGUUUGAGUAGCCGGCUAGUGCAUGUACCGUAACUUCAGUCGGUUGUGGCUCUUCUUCUGCAUCUUCUUCUUCAUGUUCAAGGCUCUCUUCUAGAUAUUCAAUGACCUCUUCUUCUAUUGG